rnacentral:rRNA from 1 species
AUUGAACGCUGGCGGCAGGCCUAACACAUGCAAGUCGAGCGGAUGAAGGGAGCUUGCUCCUGGAUUCAGCGGCGGACGGGUGAGUAAUGCCUAGGAAUCUGCCUGGUAGUGGGGGAUAACGUCCGGAAACGGGCGCUAAUACCGCAUACGUCCUGAGGGAGAAAGUGGGGGAUCUUCGGACCUCACGCUAUCAGAUGAGCCUAGGUCGGAUUAGCUAGUUGGUGGGGUAAAGGCCUACCAAGGCGACGAUCCGUAACUGGUCUGAGAGGAUGAUCAGUCACGCUGGAACUGAGACACGGUCCAUACUCCUACGGGAGGCAGCAGUGUGGAAUAUUGGACAAUGGGCGAAAGCAUGAUCCAGCCAUGCCGCGUGUGUGAAGAAGGUCUUCGGAUUGUAAAGCACGUUAAGUUGGGAGGAAGGGCAGUAAGUUAAUACCUUGCUGUUUUGACGUUACCAACAGAAUAAGCACCGGCUAACUUCGUG